UGUGUGAUAGAAGAGUUUCAGCUAAAAUGAAAGGUUUACAAAACUAUUAAUUCAAAUGGAUUGGAUAGUAUAGUUCAAUUAUCUAUCUCUGUUACAGAGAAUAGAGCACGUGUUUGCUGCAAACAGCCGCGUCAUUGCCACAUGGUUUCCACCAUCAUCCACAAACCCCAUGGAUCACCUGCUGGACAAUGCAGCCAGUCUCCAGUGGGUUCUGCUUCCAGUAUUUGUACCUGGACACUGGAUACUCUAUACUGAGGCCACAGGCUAGAGAGAUUUUCUUUCUAGAUCCCCUCUGUGGCAGCGGCUGGAGAGAUGAGAGUAGAGUCCAUCUAGUCAGGUUUUUAGGACACCUUCCAAGAUCCUUCCUGGACAGUGGUAGUUCUGUUUUAAACCACUUGUCCUUUGUUUGUUUAAUAAAUGCUUCUGUUUUUAUUUGAAUGCAUUAAGAUGUUCCAAACAAACAAAAACAAACAACAAAAGUGAGUGUUUGUGAGGGAUAGAAGUAAUUGUUACAUUAUUCUUAUUUAUUUUUACAUUAUUCCACGCAGAUGGAAACAGAACCAUAUGUUUUGUUUGUUUAAGCCCAUUACAAAAACCUUUGAUUUGAAGUUCCAGCCUCUUCCAACUUUGUUCCAAGUGUUGCUUUAAAAUGGUUUAUUGUACUUUUAUUUCCUCUUUGAGCACAUUGCUCACAUCUCCUGGCCCUUGGAGGCAGCUUGGUGUGAAUGAUGUUCAGG